rnacentral:rRNA from 1 species
GUGUCAGCCGCCGCGGUAAUACGGAGGGUGCAAGCGUUAUCCGGAUUCACUGGGUUUAAAGGGUGCGUAGGCGGACAGGUAAGUCAGUGGUGAAAUCUCUGGGCUUAACUCAGAAACUGCCGUUGAUACUAUUUGUCUUGAAUGUCAUGGAGGUAAGCGGAAUAUGUCAUGUAGCGGUGAAAUGCUUAGAUAUGACAUAGAACACCGAUAGCGAAGGCAGCUUACUACAUGAAGAUUGACGCUGAGGCACGAAAGCGUGGGGAGCAAACAGGAUUAGAUACCCCGGUAGUCC